rnacentral:misc_RNA from 1 species
GAAUCAGAUUUCACUAUUAAUAGGUCCGUGACUAGAUUCUAGGCGAGAGAUCAUAACAGUUAUCAAAUACACUCUUAGAUGAUCUAUAAGCAAUUUUUUUUUGUUAUUGUUAAUAUGCUUCCAAGCUCCCGUUAAAAGAAUGAAAAUCAUAUUCAGUUGAAGAAUGUAAUGAUGGCUAGGGUUAGACCAGAACAAAGUGGUGCCUCAGAUGCUUGAGCAAUUUUAUAACAAGUGUUUUGGACAAUCACUUCAUAUUUACAGUUAUCAUUUGAAGUUUACAGUAUAAUGAAGAUAUGUCAAAUGGUUAUGCUGUUAGGGAUCCCUUUACCUGUGAUGCCUGCUUUGGAUUCAACAUUUGAUGUGUCUGGGUGAAGAAGUUUGUAAGGUAUCUUGGCAGGGCCCCAUCUGUUCUUCAACAUGGGAUUUGCAUUCCUCUUGGAGAUGUUCUUUUCAAUCUCUUUAAGAUCUUCAUUGAACUUCUCAAAUUUUUGCCUAACUUCUUUAUUGUCAGUCCACUCUAAUGGCCUCUGUCCCAAGUACACUUCAUCAGAGCUGUGCUGUGAGAGGACUGCUGUUAAUGCUAUGCCAAGGGUUGUUUCAAAUCUUUCAGGCAACAUAUUCAAAUAGUAUUUAUCUGGAUCUCUUAGGAAUUCAGCAAAUUCUAUUUCCCCUUCAUUUGGAAUGAAUCUUCGACAUAGCAUGGGACGAUUAGGAGGGUAACUGGCAUAUGCAUAUUGCCCAAAAUUAACUGAGGCGUGAAGGGCUGAUGCAAUCCAUAUGAGAGUUGUUAGAGCCUCUGUUAGGUUGGAGAGAGUUUUCAUUUCAUACCACCAUGUUUCAUUGUGCUUAUCACCAUGACCUACAUUUUUAAUUUCUGACCACCAUUCUUGGAUUUCUAUGUCAGAACUGACUGAAUCAUCGUCUUUGUAGAAAAUGGAGCAAAAGUCUCUGACCCAUGUCUUAAUGGCACGCCAUAUUUCAAGUCCAUCUGCACCAUAGGGAUAAUCCUCAAAGAGGAGCUGAACCCCAGUGGGAUUGUCUGGGUCUUUCAAGGCCAGUCGUCUUUUGAGAAGAUCUGCAGGGAGAGCUUGUUCAUCAAAUCUCCAAUCUUUAUAGAGUUCGGAAGACAAUUCCAUGGAUAUUUCACCAGUAAACAGUGUCUUCUCGAGGAUUCCUCCAGAGUUAAUAAGGAUACUCCGAGCCAAUGCAUUGAUAUGCAUAGUGUCUUUGAAAUGUGGAUCUAAUAGCCGGUGAAUUGGAUGCAUCACACUCAAUUGCCUUCUAGUUGCAAUAAUGAAUGGCUCAACUACUGCAUGGGUGUGCAACCAAUGGCUGAUUAGUUGAUGGUAGGCUGAGUCAUUAGCUGCAACAUGAGCUUUGGCAAACUGCCAAAUUGCUGCUUCUGUGCCUUCAAUUGCUGGGUGGAACACCCAACUGGUCCUGUUGUCCUCAAGAGACCCAGGCAAGCUCAGCUCUAUUGCUACUGGUUUUAGUGUGGCAUCAUUUUGUAAGAAUAGUAGUGUCCUAGAUGCAUAAGCACAGACACCAUUUGUGUUUAUUCUGUCUAAAAAGGGCAUGAGAUAGUCAUGGUGAUCCAAGAUGAAUAUCCUCCAUUGUCUCAUUGCCUCGGCGAGAGUCAAACCGUUUAGGUUGUGCUCUAUGUCUGAUGCCUCUAUUGUACUGCCUUCUGGUGGGAACCUCUGCAAGGUACAGUUAUAUUAGGAUGUGUGGUGCACCCUUUUGAUUUAACAUAAUUUGUUACAUGUGAUUAACACUAUCGACAAUGUUAAAUUAACAAUGUAUAAAGUGUAUAAUGUAGAAUAUAUAUCUAUUAUUUUUUUUACCAAUAUAAUGUGGACGUACAUGUGUAUGUACCUGUGUAUUUAUUUGUUUUGUGGAAAAAUUUGAAUGGACAUUCAAAUUUCAUUAUUUUCAUUACAAAUUUCGGUUGGGCAUGAAUUUGGUGCAAAUAAUAAGUCUAGGCAAGUUGUGCUUAUAUUAUUAUAGUGAGUAUAAUCUUUAUUUGUUUCAUAUCAUAAGGAAGAUGCAUGUCUUAUCGACAAAUUAACAGGGUCAAUUAUAAUCUAUGUUUUUUCUUUGCCUGGCAGGUCAAUGGAGUUGGAUUAAUCGUACUAGUGUAGGCUAUCAUAACAAAUCCAAUGAAAUGUCUGUGAAGGCUGGGGAAACCUGCAAACUUCGAAUUCGUGCUGGAUUAAUUCCUGCAAGCAUCUGAUGUCCAAACUCUUCAUCAUCCUUCCAGGCUAAUUCGUUUUCUGAAGAAUAAUAUGCAAGCUCAAUUUAUAAAUGUUAAACAAAUAAAUGGAACAUCUAUCUUUUAGACUCCAUAAAUUGUAAGAGCAGUUUGCAAGGUGCAGCACCUGUUAUAAUUUGAGGCAAUGGGAAUUCUAUGGACUCUUUGGUUGCAUGAAUAAUUUCUUUAAAAAGCUCAUCUGUUACCAAUUUCAUUAUUUUGUCUGUGACCGUUCCCUUUAUUCGAUUUCUCUUUCUAUAGAACAGGUUGCGUAUCUCCUCAAAUGACUUGAAAUUACUUGAUCCUUGUUUGAGUAAGGAACUUGCUUCGGGGAUAAGGAAAUGUACAGUAGCCCGGACUGAAUUUGAUAUGAGCUCUGAAAGUCUUUUGGGGCCAAAUCGCUCAUCUGAAGGAACAUACACAUCCAAGUUGAUAAUUUCUGGCCGGCUUUCAGUAGAAGGAUCAGUGCUGCUUGGAGGGUAACCUGUUCUUCCCCUUCGAGGAUAUGGAUGUGAUUCAGAGCCACCCAAUCUUGGUCUAUUGUGUUGUUGACCUUUAUCUGGACGACCAAGUUCAUUGUAGUAAUCAUAAUCAUAGAUUCGAUCCCAUUCCUUUCUCUCUCCAGUUCCAUCGCCUCUCAGGCUUGUAAGUUCCGACUUUCUUAAUUCCACCAAAGCACUAGGUGUUUGGUUCGGCAGAUAACUAGCGUUUGAGAAGAACAAUCGGUCUGAUUUUGUCUUCUGGACAGGGUAUACCCAAGACUUGCAGUCAAAGUGGACGAGAUGAUUGUCUAGAACUUCAAGAGUUGCAUAUUCAAGGAAGAAUUCAUGUUUAUGUUGGUUGGUUAUGAGAAAUGCUCCUGGAAUUCCAAACUCUGGCUCGGUGUAGAGCUUUAUUUGAUAUGUUAUUGUUUUCACGCCAUCACGCUUUUUGCUCUUUCCAUGCUUGAGGUAGGCUUUCUGGCUCAACUUCCCUUUGCCUGUGCUUGGGUCGAUUGCAUUGCUGCUAUAGAUCUGUACAGAUGCUGAUUUUCCAGGACCUGAUUGCCCUUGAGUUUGAAGAAUGACAAAUUUUCCCUUGAUAAUACAUCGCUUAGUGGAAUGAUUAAUCUUGCUGUGGAUGGCUUUCAUACAUGUUUGCAGGCUGGAGCAUGGCCCAUGGGGUUCCAUGUUUAUUUCUUUGUUCUUUUCUUGGUUAUGCUCAAUCUCUACUCCCAGAAAGGAUUCCUGUAUGAGACCUGAAGAAUUUGGCUGAGUAAAACUUUGGUAAUAGGAAUUGAUAAGUUGGGAAAUUCAAGUGCAUGUGCCUUUCUUAAAAGAUUAGCUAUUUCUGAUUGGUUCUGGGGAAAUUUGGCAUGCUAAGAUUGCUUUGAUGUUGCUUUGAC